ACUGUGGUUCUGGGCCAUUUCCAGGAAUCUGGGUAUGGACCUGGCCAGAGCUCAUCCCCCUGGCCAGUAUUUAAUUAAUGCUUGCUUCAAAUUUGGCUUUAAACUGUGGUAGUGGUCUUAUUCUCGAUUGGUAGGAGUAACAUUUCCUGGAGGCCCCAGUGAGAUUCAGACCACCACCCCCCAAAUUCUAAAGCUAGACCUUCACUCUGGGGUUGAGGGGCGGCUUCAGGAGGCAUGUGACUUGAGAGGUUCCAAGGCUCCAAAGCUGCUUUCAGUUUGCAGAUUAUCGGAGUGAACUUCCAUGCUGAGAAAUGCAGCAAACGUCUAUGGAGGCCUCCUGGGUCCCCUGGAGAUGCCAUCACCCCCAGACAACAGGAAGCAGUCUAGAGAACACAACGCCUACAUUUCCAAGAGAAAGUCAACAAUGCUCACCAGCACAAGGACAAGAACAAAAAGCGUUGACAGGUCCUGUGUGACUGUCCUGCUGGUGUUCAAAGUGCUCGGCCGCAGGACCACACGGAAAAAGUUUCUCUGGACGAGAAACCAAGGUCUUUAGAAGCAGCUUCCAGAGCCACAUGUGUCCCUUGGGAGCAGUGUGGUGGCUUCCCCCACCCAGCAAACAAGAUUUGGCACCUGUCCUUGUGGGGACAACUUGUUCCUGAGGAGAAAAAACAAAACAAUGAAUCAGACUCUAGGUCAAGGGCACACUCGUCCGACCAGCGAGAGGGGACGUGCUCCCAGAAAGGACACCUGACGGCCCUGCCAUAAACAACAGGCCAGAGAGAACAUUCCAGGUGGGAUGCAGGACCUGUGGAGGUCAUGGGCUCACUCCUGGCUGCUGACUGACGAGAGGAGGAAGAAGUGAAAUGCUAGAAGCAGGAACAGAUAACACUCCAAAAGGUCUCUUCCCUCACACACAGACCCAAAUCGAGUGUCGCCAGUUCUGAGGAUCCCCAAGGACUCUGGAUGCCCUCCUCACUUCCGUCCAAGUCUCCAUAAAGAGAACGUCAUUGCACUUGC